UACAGAGGGUGCAAGCGUUAAUCGGAAUUACUGGGCGUAAAGGGUGCGUAGGUGGUUUAAUAAGUUGGGUGUGAAAUUCCUGGGCUCAACCUAGGAACUGCGCUCAAUACUGUUGAGCUAGAGUACUGUAGAGGAAAGUGGAAUUUCCAGUGUAGCGGUGAAAUGCGUAGAUAUUGGAAGGAACAUCAGUGGCGAAGGCGACUUUCUGGACAGAUACUGACACUGAGGCACGAAAGCGUGGGGAGCAAACAGG
rnacentral:rRNA from 1 species